rnacentral:rRNA from 1 species
AAUGAACGUUGGCGGCGUGGAUUAGGCAUGCAAGUCGAGCGAGAACCCCGCAAGGGGGGACAGCGGCGAAAGGGACAGUAAUACGCAGAUUACCUACCCUCGGGACCGGAAUAGCUGCGGGAAACUGCAGGUAAUGCCGGAUAACGUCCCCGGACCAAAGGUGAGAUUCCGCCUGAGGAUGGGUCUACGUCCUAUUAGCUUGUUGGUGGGGUAACGGCCUACCAAGGCAAUGAUGGGUAGUGGGUGUGAGAGCACGACCCGCGUCACUGGGACUGAGACACUGCCCAGACACCUACGGGUGGCUGCAGUCGAGGAUCUUCGGCAAUGGGCGCAAGCCUGACCGAGCGACGCCGCGUGUGGGAUGAAGGCCUUCGGGUUGUAAACCACUGUCAGAGGGGAUGAAAUGCAGGUGGGUUCUCCCAUCUGUUUGGCAUAUCCUCAGAGGAAGUACGGGCUAAGUUCGUGCCAGCCGCCGCGGUAACAC